rnacentral:rRNA from 1 species
UUACCCACUCCCGGCACGGGGAGGUAGUGACGAAAAAUAACGAUACGGGACUCAUCCGAGGCCCCGUAAUCGGAAUGAGUACACUCUAAACCCUUUAACGAGGAUCAAUUGGAGGGCAAGUCUGGUGCCAGCAGCCGCGGUAACUCCAGCUCCAAUAGCGUAUAUUAAAGUUGUUGCGGUUAAAAAGCUCGUAGUCGAAUUUGUGUCCCACGCCGCCGGUUCAUCGUCCGCGGUGUCAACUGGCGUGUCGGGGGACGUCCUGCCGGUGGGCUUAGCCCGCAAGGGCGGCCCAACUCAAUCCUGCCGCGGUGCUCUUCAUUGAGUGUCGAGGUGGGCCGGCACGUUUACUUUGAACAAAUUAGAGUGCUUAAAGCAGGCUAAAACUUCGCCUGAAUACUGUGUGCAUGGAAUAAUGGAAUAGGACCUCGGUUCUAUUUUGUUGGUUUUCGGAACCCCGAGGUAAUGAUUAAUAGGAACGGAUGGGGGCAUUCGUAUUGCGACGUUAGAGGUGAAAUUCUUGGAUCGUCGCAAGACGGACAGAAGCGAAAGCAUUUGCCAAAAACGCUUUCAUUGAUCAAGAACGAAAGUUAGAGGUUCGAAGGCGAUCAGAUACCGCCCUAGUUCUAACCAUAAACGAUGCCAGCUAGCGAUCCGUCGACGUUCCUCCGAUGACUCGACGGGCAGCUUCCGGGAAACCAAAGCUUUUGGGUUCCGGGGGAAGUAUGGUUGCAAAGCUGAAACUUAAAGGAAUUGACGGAAGGGCACCACCAGGAGUGGAGCCUGCGGCUUAAUUUGACUCAACACGGGAAACCUCACCAGGCCCGGACACCGGAAGGAUUGACAGAUUGAGAGCUCUUUCUUGAUUCGGUGGGUGGUGGUGCAUGGCCGUUCYUAGUUGGUGGAGCGAUUUGUCUGGUUAAUUCCGAUAACGAACGAGACUCUAGCCUGCUAACUAGGCGCAUUUUGACAUCGCAAAGGCCCGCCGGCUUGGGG